GACGAACGCUGGCGGCGUGCCUAAUACAUGCAAGUAGAACGCUGAAGGAGGAGCUUGCUUCUCCGGAUGAGUUGCGAACGGGUGAGUAACGCGUAGGUAACCUGCCUGGUAGCGGGGGAUAACUAUUGGAAACGAUAGCUAAUACCGCAUAACAGUAGAUGUUGCAUGACAUUUGCUUAAAAGGUGCAAUUGCAUCACUACCAGAUGGACCUGCGUUGUAUUAGCUAGUUGGUGAGGUAACGGCUCACCAAGGCGACGAUACAUAGCCGACCUGAGAGGGUGAUCGGCCACACUGGGACUGAGACACGGCCCAGACUCCUACGGGAGGCAGCAGUAGGGAAUCUUCGGCAAUGGACGGAAGUCUGACCGAGCAACGCGGCGUGAGUGAAGAAGGUUGUCGGAUCGUAAAGCUCUGUUGUAAGAGAAGAACGAGUGUGAGAGUGGAAAGUUCACACUGUGACGGUAUCUUACCAGAAAGGGACGGCUAACUACGUG
rnacentral:rRNA from 1 species